rnacentral:rRNA from 1 species
CCUACGGGAGGCAGCAGUGGGGAAUAUUGGGCAAUGGGCGCAAGCCUGACCCAGCAACGCCGCGUGAAGGAAGAAGGCUUUCGGGUUGUAAACUUCUUUUAAGAGGGAAGAGCAGAAGACGGUACCUCUUGAAUAAGCCACGGCUAACUACGUGCCAGCAGCCGCGGUAAUACGUAGGUGGCAAGCGUUGUCCGGAUUUACUGGGGGUAAAGGGCGUGCAGCCGGGAAGACAAGUCAGAUGUGAAAUCCCGCGGCUCAACCGCGGAACUGCAUUUGAAACUGUUUUUCUUGAGUACCGGAGAGGUCAUCGGAAUUCCGUGUGUAGCGGUGAAAUGCGUAGAUAUAAGGAAGAACACCAGUGGCGAAGGCGGAUGACUGGACGGCAACUGACGGUGAGGCGCGAAAGCGUGGGGAGCAAACAGGAUUAGAUACCCUAGUAGUC